ACCCAUGUGAACCAUACCAAACUGUUGCCUCGGCGGGGUCACGCCCCGGGUGCGUCGCAGCCCCGGAACCAGGCGCCCGCCGGAGGGACCAACCAAACUCUUUCUGUAGUCCCCUCGCGGACGUUAUUUCUUACAGCUCUGAGCAAAAAUUCAAAAUGAAUCAAAACUUUCAACAACGGAUCUCUUGGUUCUGGCAUCGAUGAAGAACGCAGCGAAAUGCGAUAAGUAAUGUGAAUUGCAGAAUUCAGUGAAUCAUCGAAUCUUUGAACGCACAUUGCGCCCGCCAGUAUUCUGGCGGGCAUGCCUGUCCGAGCGUCAUUUCAACCCUCGAACCCCUCCGGGGGUCCGGCGUUGGGGAUCGGGAACCCCUAAGACGGGAUCCCGGCCCCGAAAUACAGUGGCGGUCUCGCCGCAGCCUCUCAUGCGCAGUAGUUUGCACAACUCGCACCGGGAGCGCGGCGCGUCCACGUCCGUAAAACACCCAACUUCUGAAAUGUUGACCUCGGAUCAGGUAGGAAUACCCGCUGAACUUAAGCAUAUCAAUAAGCGGGG
rnacentral:rRNA from 1 species